GUAAAACUGUCCUUACUAUUGAGAAGUAAGUAGUCUUAUCCUUUGGAUGUAAAGGGACAUCGUGGGGUCGUCGAUUGGUCAUUGAAGGCAACAUUUGUAAGGAUACCUUAGCAUUCGAAGAGACGAUCGUCAUUUAAUCGUAGGCUAUAACGAAGGGUCAUCGAGGGACAAAGUCAUAUAUUCGAAGGCAACGUUGGGACAUUGACAUUUUGAUCGAAAGGACUAUGACUUAUCUGUUUAGGGAUGAUGAUGAUUUAAUCGAAAGGGUAUCCCCACAUUCGCGGGACAGAGGUGCAAGUGUGGAAAUGAUUGGAUUCGGUACAUAAUUU
rnacentral:lncRNA from 1 species